AGUAAUGUGUGGGGAUCUGCCUGAUGGGCGGGGGAUAACUACUGGAAACGGUAGCUAAUACCGCAUAAUGUCUACGGACCAAAGCGGGGGACCUCCGGGCCUCGCGCCAUCAGAUGAACCCAUAUGGGAUUAGCUAGUAGGUGAGGUAACGGCUUACCUAGGCGACGAUCCCUAGCUGGCCUGAGAGGAUGAUCAGCCACACUGGGACUGAGACACGGCCCAG
rnacentral:rRNA from 1 species